GACGUAGGGCGCGAGCGUUGUCCGGAUUUAUUGGGCGUAAAGAGCUCGUAGGCGGCUUGUCGCGUCGUCUGUGAAAUCCCGCGGCUCAACCGCGGGUCUGCAGUCGAUACGGGCAGGCUAGAGUUCGGUAGGGGAGACUGGAAUUCCUGGUGUAGCGGUGGAAUGCGCAGAUAUCAGGAGGAACACCGGUGGCGAAGGCGGUUCUCUGGGCCUUACCUGACGCUGAGGAGCGAAAGCGUGGGGAGCGAACAGG
rnacentral:rRNA from 1 species